AUUGAACGCUGGCGGCAGGCCUAACACAUGCAAGUCGAGCGAGAGGCGGACGGGUGAGUAAUGUCUGGGAAACUGCCUGAUGGAGGGGGAUAACUACUGGAAACGGUAGCUAAUACCGCAUACCAUCAGAUGUGCCCAGAUGGGAGUCGCUAGUAGGGGGGGUAAAGGCUCCCCUGGGCGACGAUCCCUAGCUGGUCUGAGAGGAUGACCAGCCACACUGGAACUGAGACACGGUCCAGACUCCUACGGGAGGCAGCAGUGGGUAAUAUUGCACAAUGGGCGCAAGCCUGAUGCAGCCAUGCCGCGUGUGUGAAGAAGUCCUUCGGGUUGUAAAGCACUUUCAGCGGGGAGGCGUUACCCGCAGAAGAAGCACCGGCUAACUCCGUGCCAGCAGCCGCGGUAAUUC
rnacentral:rRNA from 1 species